CAGGGCAUCCCUUCGCCGCGUUGUAUGACACAACAUCUGUCUUUCUUCUCCAGGUUCGUAUACAGCGCAGGCAGAAGCAAUGUUGGCAGUUCGGUAAGAUGGCAAAGACGCGCUCCGAGGGAUUCUGUUUGCGGACUGAUAAGCUCCUCCGAGCCGACGCUGCACGUGGGGCCGUUUCCCGACACUAGCACAGGGCUUCUUUGGUGGGAUCUCUGGGUUGACCUUAUGCGUCGAGGUUGAGGCUGUUGCUGCUGGCGCACACCGGGAACGCUCUGGUGUGUGAUCAUCAUCGUAGGAGCGGAGGGAAAAUUCGUGGAUGUCACAGAUUGCAUCCAAGACGUUGGGAUGUCCGUUAGAUGCAGCGUGUGCUCUUUAUGAACUCUGCCAGCCGAACCGUG